rnacentral:rRNA from 1 species
UACGGAGGGUGCGAGCGUUGUCCGGAAUUACUGGGCGUAAAGGGCUCGUAGGCGGCCAACUAAGUCCGACGUGAAAUCCCCAGGCUUAACCUGGGAACUGCGUCGGAUACUGGAUGGCUUGAAUCCGGGAGAGGGAUGCGGAAUUCCAGGUGUAGCGGUGAAAUGCGUAGAUAUCUGGAGGAACACCGGUGGCGAAGGCGGCAUCCUGGACCGGCAUUGACGCUGAGGAGCGAAAGCCAGGGGAGCAAACGGG